UAUUAUAUAAAUUAUUAUUUUUUAUAUUAUUUUAAUAUUUUUAAUAAAUCAAUUUAUUGUUUUUGUAUAUUUUGUAGAUUAAAUUUUUUUUAUUAUAGUUAAUUUUUAUAGUAUUAGGAUUUUUAUUAAUUUUUAAAAGUAGAUUUUUGUCGUACCUUGUGUAUCAGGGUUUAUUAAAUUAUAUAAUUUAUUUUUUGUUUCCCGAUUUUAAAGGAUUUAAUUAAAUAUUUUAGUUAUUGUUUUAUAAUUAUUAAUAAUAUUUAUUUGGUAGUGACAUAUUAUUCGGCUUUAAUGGUAUCUGGUUUUUCAAGAAAUGAAUUAAAUUCAUAUAUUAAUAAUUUAUUUCUUUUUUUUUUAGUUCAUAUUUUGUUAAUAUAAAUAUUAUGGGGGAUAAGCUCUUUAAUAUAUUUUUAUAAUUUUUUAUUUUUUAAUUUUUGUUGGUUUUGAAAUAACUAUCAUUUUAAGUUUGUUAAAAUUUUAUUUAGUUAAUUUUUAAUUUUUAUUUAUUUAAAUAUUUUAUUGAAAUUAUUUAUUUAAUUAUUUAUUUGUCUAUAAUUAUGAUGUAAUUAGUAAUUGUUUUAUUUAUUUUUUAAUAAUUUUGCUUAUAUUUUAAAAAGAACUAGGCAAAAUUAAUUCCCGCAUGUUUAUCAAAAACAUCUUUUCUUGUAUAAAAUAUGAAAUAUGGCCUGCCCACUGAUUAAUUUUGAAGGGCCGCGGUAUUUUGACCGUGCAAAGGUAGCAUAAUCAUUAGUCUUUUAAUUGUAGACUGGUAUGAAUGGUUGGACGAGGAAUAAACUGUUUCUUAUUAUUUUUUUUUUGAAUUUAAUUUUUGAGUUAAAAAGCUUAAAUUUAUUUAUGGGACGAGAAGACCCUAUAGAGUUUUAUAUUUUAUAUACUUAUUUUGUUUGAUUAAAUAUUUAUUUUGUAUUAUAAUUUAUUUUGUUGGGGUGAUAGGAAGAAUUAAUUAACUCUUUUUUAUAUUUAUACACUUAUUUGUGAUAUAUUGAUCCAUUCUUGUUGAUUAUAAGAUUGAAUUACCUUAGGGAUAACAGCGUAAUCUUUUCUGAGAGUUCUUAUCGAUGAAUAGGUUUGCGACCUCGAUGUUGGAUUAAGAUUUAAUUUGGGUGUAGAAUUUCAAUUUGUUUAGGUCUGUUCGACCUUUAAAAUCUUACAUGAUCUGAGUUCAAACCGGUGUAAGCCAGGUUGGUUUCUAUCUAUAAUUAAUUUUAUAUCUUAGUACGAGAGGACCAGAUAUUUGAAAUAAUUUUAUUUAUUUGAUUAUUAUUAAUUUAUU
rnacentral:rRNA from 1 species